rnacentral:rRNA from 1 species
GACGAACGCUGGCGGCGUGCUUAACACAUGCAAGUCGAACGAGUGGCGAACGGGGGAGUAAAACGUGGAUGAUCUGCCUUGCACUUCGGGAUAAGCCUGGGAAACUGGGUCUAAUACAGGAUAGUGCAAGAAGAGGUCGGGGCCUAUCAGCUGGGUGGUGGGGUAAUGGGUACCAAGGCGCGACGGGUAGCCGGCCUGAGAGGGUGUACGGCCACAGUGGGACUGAGAGACGGGCCAGGGUCCAACUGGAGGCAGGAGUGGAGAAUAGUGCGCGAUGGGCGGAGUGCUGAUGGAGGGACGCCGGGUGGGAGAUGAAGGCCUUCGGGUUGUAAACUCCUUGCGACAGGGAGGCGGUACCUGUAUAAGAAGCACCGGCUAACUACGUGCCAGCAGCCGCGGUAAUUC